GUUUGAAUGCUUAGAAGCUAUUUACUCAAAUUUGAAUGUAUUUUUAGAAAAAUAAAAGUAUGUUAUAUUGAAGAGUAAUGUAGUACAGAAUAAAUAAACAUGAAAACAGAAACUUCUUCAUCAUAUUUUUUUUUUGGUGAGAGUUUUACUACCGAUGUCUCAGCGAUUUUGAGGGUGAAAGUUGUGACAUGAAAACAUGUCACUUUCAUGAACUUAUUUCUGGAAAAAAGUUCAUCAUAAUGCAAUGUUUCCUACUUAAAACAUGUCACCUUUAGUACCCCUACUAUGUCUGAGAAGCUCAAGUGAAAUGUGCAAAAAAUCGGCAAGUUAUUUCAUAUUGAAAAAACACAAUACCUACGUUACCAACGAUGUCCUAGGCACUUUUUUCGUAACGGCGGUAAUUCUAGCAUUUUACACAAAUUUAGCAGGAUAUUUUCUCAGAAAGUUUCAUCUUAUUAGGAAGGUACAACCCCUCAUGAACAUAUGUAGAAAGAAUGAUGAUUAAAUCGGUCGGUAAAUAUAAGAAAACAAUUAAUUUACCGCGAAAAUCGGGCGCGAUGUCCUUCGUAAUUUGGUAACGUAGGUGUGAAAUUACGGUGUUUGAGAUAUAAACCAGCCCGCUAGCUUCAGUUUUCGGUGUUAAAAUGACCUGCUAGUUAUUCACGAAUGCGCAGAACAUGUUUUUUGCCGGACUGCGACGACCUACCCCUACAGUGCAACCACAAACGUGAAGAUGUCUUUGUAACGUGGUGCAGCCAUUUUCGCCCGUCAGCGCCCAAAUUGAUUGCUGCAUCCAUUUCAUUCAUGGCUCCUAUACCUCCCUUGAGGAUUCAGCUCAGGCAGAGAGAGAUCAAGAGAGCAGGCAAAAUGACCAGUCAUCGAAACCUUCCUGGAAAACAAAGAUCUUUCCAAUCUAAUCACUAUUUUGAAGAAGAUAUAAAGUUGAUCAUUGAUAUCUAUCAAUAUACCUCUUGUAUGAAUACUGUUUUUUAAUUUACUGAUCAAGGGAUAAAAUA